CGUGAACGUGGACGUGUGAAACGCUUAAGGUUCAAACUCUCGUCAACAUACCCAAUGCAGAAACUCGCAGCUCAAUGCAAAUCUGCCCACGCGCCGUGUCCACAGCACAAAUAUGUGUGAUCAGGCUUGGCUGAGCAACAAAAGGACUGGACUCACAACACAGACGCUCUGUUCAGGAAGCCAGAACAGGCUCCACCUCCUGGGGACGCUCGGGUCCUUUGGAGUGAGGGGGCCACUCCAGGAACCUGCUGUGACUCUGUGGUGGCAUCUGCCAUCUGGUACGGUGUGGCCUGCUGGAGCAGCAGCACCACAGAGAGGGAGAGGAAGAAGCUGGACAAGAUCAUAAAGGAGCCUGGCUCAGUCCUGGGCCGUCCUCUGGAUGGGACGCAGGGGACAGAGGGGUCCCGGUCAAACUCACACGGACGCUGGACCAGAUUGUAGAGCAUUCUGCUGUCAUCCAUCAGAACAUCUGAAGACAUUUCUGUUGAAAAGAGGAUCCUUCUUCCUGCCCAUUAUCCUCUGUUCCAAUUAUUACUGCAGCUGCCUACAUGUGCAGGGGGAAACUAUUAUUAGAGCCGUCGUCCACUGUUCUCGCCUCUCGUGUUACCUGUCUGGUGUCAUCAAGGGUCAGCCCAUUCUACCUUCCCGUCCAUCGCUGAGCUCACAGCACAUCACCUCAGAGUGCACAUGCACCAGCUUCCACUUGGUGAACCCACCAGCUCUCCUGGGAGGACGGUGGAUGUUCCGGACCCUUAUAGGGAGAGGAGCAUAA
rnacentral:lncRNA from 1 species